AGGGUGUGGAAGCAGUGUGCAUAUCCAGGGGCCAGUCUCAGACCAGGGCCCCAGAAUGGUACAUGAAUCAGGGCUCCUGAAUGUUUGUCAUGAAGUUCAGUAUUGCAGUAUCCAAGUCCGCUUGUGAAUUCUGCAACCAUUGUGAACUUGGUGGUUCUCGGCAAGUUUCUAAACUGCUGUAGAAGAACAUCCCAUCUUUCAGAAAAGGAACAGAUUCUGGAUGAAAUGCUAGGUCUCUUGCAAGCAAACACCAUCAAAGGGCAUAGAGCUGUCCUUCCUCCAUACCUAAAGUCUCAGACCGUAAUCCAUGCUUUGCUGACUUUCAUAACUGUUGCUGCUGGUGAACUUUCCCAACUAACUUUGGAGGGCCUGGCCAAGUGGCCAAACUCCUAGUAGGCAUUCCUUGAUAGUUUGCUGCCUUAAACUAUCUCUACACAGCCAGGGUCAGGCUUAUAAAUGUCAGAUCCUAAACCUAGUGACUUCCUUGUCUAAAACUCCUAGCUGGUUCCAUCCCCUCAUGGGAAGGGGGCAGAAUUAAUUAAAUCUCAUCACUAAUAAAACCUUGGGAAGGGUUGGAAAUGAUAGCAUUGGAGCUGGCCUUGGUAACUUUGGGUGGGUCUGCAAAACUGUUCCCCUCCUCCCAAAGUAAACCUGCCACCAUCACACCACUGUGCACUAGGCAUGCCUGUAGGUGUCACGUGAUUAGCAAGAUGACAUGAAUACAAAAACCAAGGUGAGUGAGUUUGGUGCACAUCUUCCACAGGCCUCAGUUAAGACUAGGAGCCCAUUGAGGGAGGUGUACAACUAUAAGAACACUAUCCCUGCUCUGAAGAGCUGUGUGAGGACCAUCAUACUUAUUCUCCCAACACCUACUGCAGAAAUAGAGGCCAUUGUUUGUUGACCAGUUUGCAUCCUUUCCCAACUGAAAGGGAUCAAUAUUUAAAGAGCAAAGACUCUCCCUCUACACUUUUGGGCCCCAUCUGACUUGGGAAAGCUAAGGUUGGCUCUGCUUGGUACUACAGGGAGCAAAUCUGUUUGAAGAGAGGCUUGCUGAGAGACAAGAUGGCAGCAUUUGCUGUAUGGAGUCUAACCAAGUCUUUCCACUGCUUCACUUUUA